CAAGAAAUGGGGGUGCGCAACAUUAGUUAGUUGNUAGGGUAAAAGCCUACCAAGACGAUGAUGUUUAGCGGGGCCAAGAGGUUGUACCGCCACACUGGGAUUGAGAUACGGCCCAGACUCCUACGGGAGGCAGCAGUAAGGAAUAUUCCACAAUAAGCGAAAGCUUGAUGGAGCGACACAGCGUGCAGGAUGAAGUCUUUCGGGAUGUAAACUGCUGUUGUAAGGGAAGAAAAAACUAGAUAGGAAAUGCUCUAGUCUUGACGGUACCUUAUUAGAAAGCGACGGCAAACUAUGUGCCAGCAGCCGCGGUAAUACAUAGGUCGCAAGCGUUAUCCGGAAUUAUUGGGCGUAAAGCGUCCGUAGGUUUUUUGUUAAGUUUAAAGUUAAAUGCUAAAGCUCAACUUUAGUCCGCUUUAGAUACUGGCAAAAUAGAAUUAUGAAGAGGUUAGCGGAAUUCCUAGUGGAGUGGUGGAAUACGUAGAUAUUAGGAAGAACACCAAUAGGCGAAGGCAGCUAACUGGUCAUAUAUUGACACUAAGGGACGAAAGCGUGGGGAGCAAACAGGAUUAGAUACCCUGGUAGUCCACGCCGUAAACGAUGAUCAUUAGUUGGUGGCAAAAGUCACUAACACAGCUAACGCGUUAAAUGAUCCGCCUGAGUAGUAUGCUCGCAAGAGUGAAACU
rnacentral:rRNA from 2 species